rnacentral:rRNA from 1 species
GAUGAACGCUGGCGGCGUGCCUAAUACAUGCAAGUCGAGCGAACGGACGAGAAGCUUGCUUCUCUGAUGUUAGCGGCGGACGGGUGAGUAACACGUGGAUAACCUACCUAUAAGACUGGGAUAACUUCGGGAAACCGGAGCUAAUACCGGAUAAUAUUUUGAACCGCAUGGUUCAAAAGUGAAAGACGGUCUUGCUGUCACUUAUAGAUGGAUCCGCGCUGCAUUAGCUAGUUGGUAAGGUAACGGCUUACCAAGGCAACGAUGCAUAGCCGACCUGAGAGAGAGGGUAGCCAGAAGAGGAAGGAGAGACGGUAGAGACGACUGCGGGAGGCAGCAGUGGGGCAUAUGUGGCAAUGGUCGAAAGGUUGACAGAGAAAUGAAUAGGGGAAGAAGAAGGUCGUCGGAGAGUAGAACACUGUAAUGAGGUAAGAACCAGAAUGUAAUGAAGUAUGCCCCGACUGCCGGGAGGUAAUAAGAAAACAACGAAUAAGAACGUG